rnacentral:rRNA from 1 species
AAGCGUUAAUCGGAAUUACUGGGCGUAAAGCGAGCGUAGGUGGCUUGAUAAGUCAGAUGUGAAAGCCCCGGGCUUAACCUGGGAACGGCAUCUGAUACUGUUAGGCUAGAGUAGGUGAGAGGAAGGUAGAAUUCCAGGUGUAGCGGUGAAAUGCGUAGAGAUCUGGAGGAAUACCGAUGGCGAAGGCAGCCUUCUGGCAUCAUACUGACACUGAGGUUCGAAAGCGUGGGUAGCAAACAGGAUUAGAUACCCUGGUAGUCCACGCCGUAAACGAUGUCUACUAGUCGUUGGGUCCCUUGAGGACUUAGUGACGCAGCUAACGCAAUAAGUAGACCGCCUGGGGAGUACGGCCGCAAGGUUAAAACUCAAAUGAAUUGACGGGGGCCCGCACAAGCGGUGGAGCAUGUGGUUUAAUUCGAUGCAACGCGAAGAACCUUACCUGGUCUUGACAUAUCUAGAAUCCUGCAGAGAUGCGGGAGUGCCUUCGGGAAUUAGAAUACAGGUGCUGCAUGGCUGUCGUCAGCUCGUGUCGUGAGAUGUUGGGUUAAGUCCCGCAACGAGCGCAACCCUUGUCCUUAGUUACCAGCGGUUUGGCCGGGAACUCUAAGGAUACUGCCAGUGACAAACUGGAGGAAGGCGGGGACGACGUCAAGUCAUCAUGGCCCUUACGACCAGGGCUACACACGUGCUACAAUGGUAGGUACAGAGGGCAGCUACACAGCGAUGUGAUGCGAAUCUCAAAAAGCCUAUCGUAGUCCAGAUUGGAGUCUGCAACUCGACUCCAUGAAGUAGGAAUCGCUAGUAAUCGCGGAUCAGAAUGCCGCGGUGAAUACGUUCCCGGGCCUUGUACACACCGCCCGUCACACCAUGGGAGUUGAUGCACCAGAAGUGGGUAGCCUAACCUUUUAGG